AACGAACGCUGGCGGCAUGCCUAACACAUGCAAGUCGAACGAGACCUUCGGGUCUAGUGGCGCACGGGUUCGUAACGCGUGGGAACCUGCCCUUAGGUUCGGAAUAACUCCCCGACAGGGGUGCUAAUACCGGAUCAUGUCUUCGGACCAAAGAUUUAUCGCCUUUGGAUGGGCCCUCGUUGGAUUAGCUUGUGGGUAGGGUAAAAGCCUACCAAGGCGCCGAUCCAUAGCUGGUCUGAGAGGAUGAUCAGCCACACUGGGACUGAGACACGGCCCAGACUCCUACGGGAGGCAGCAGUGGGGAAUAUUGGACAAUGGGCGAAAGCCUGAUCCAGCAAUGCCGCGUAAGUGAUGAAGGCCUUAGGGUUGUAAAGCUCUUUUACCCGGGAUGAUAAUGACAGUACCGGGAGAAUAAGCUCCGGCUAACUCCGUG
rnacentral:rRNA from 1 species